UACAGAGGGGGCAAGCGUUGUUCGGAAUUACUGGGCGUAAAGGGCGCGUAGGCGGCCUGUUAAGUCGAACGUGAAAUCCCCGGGCUCAACCCGGGAACUGCGUCCGAUACUGGCAGGCUUGAAUCCGGGAGAGGGAUGCGGAAUUCCAGGUGUAGCGGUGAAAUGCGUAGAUAUCUGGAGGAACACCGGUGGCGAAGGCGCAUCCUGGACCGGCAUUGACGCUGAGGCGCGAAAGCCAGGGGAGCAAACGGG
rnacentral:rRNA from 1 species